CAUUAGAUGACUGAAAACAAGUAAUGGUCUCUUAAACCACCUCAUAGUAAAUUAGUGAUUACUUCUAAUGA
rnacentral:tRNA from 1 species